AACGAACGCUGGCGGCGUGGAUAAGACAUGCAAGUCGAACGCUGGCUUACGGGUAGCAAUAUUCGUAAGUUGGAGUGGCGCAAGGGUGCGUAACACGUGGGCAAUUUGCCGUGAAGUGGGGGAUAAUUCCGCGAAAGCGGGACUAAUACCGGAUGUGAAUAUCUGGAGGCAUCUUCGGAUAUUUAAAGUUGGGGACCGCAAGGCCUGACGCUUCACGAUGAGCCCGCGGCCUAUCAGCUAGUUGGUGAGGUAACGGCCCACCAAGGCUAAGACGGGUAGCUGGUCUGAGAGGACGACCAGCCACACUGGAACUGAGACACGGUCCAGACACCUACGGGAGGCUG
rnacentral:rRNA from 1 species